AGGAUAGAGUGUGUGGGGUAGCACGGAGAACUUUGGAUUCUCAGGGGUGGGUUCGAUACCUACAAUCCUAG
rnacentral:tRNA from 1 species